rnacentral:rRNA from 1 species
UACGUAGGGUGCAAGCGUUAAUCGGAAUUACUGGGCGUAAAGCGUGCGCAGGCGGUGAUGUAAGACAGGUGUGAAAUCCCCGGCUUAACCUGGGAACUGCAUUUGUGACUGCAUAGCUAGAGUACGGUAGAGGGGGAUGGAAUUCCGCGUGUAGCAGUGAAAUGCGUAGAUAUCGGGAGAACACCGGUGGCGAAGGCGGCGAUCUGGGUAGAUACUGACGCUGAGGUGCGAAAAGCGUGGGGGAGCAAACAGGG